GUUUCUAUUUAUCUCUUUUCUUAGAGCAUUGCCUUUUAAAAUGAAGAAAAAAUAGUUUUCUACUGAGAAAUAAACAGUCCCGUAUUUUUGUAAAUUCCAUCGGUUACAGUCGUGUCAAAAGGCAGAAACCCCAACAGUCCCUUCUCCUUAAAUGCCUUGCGCAACAGUCGCUCACUCUCCCUCUCUUAAUUACCAUACUUGCUUUCUCUUCAAUCCUUUGUGUUUUAUUACUCAUUCUGUUUUCCUAAUCGCCACUGAGGAGUUGUUUCACUCGAUUCUCAAGGGCAUGUUACGGUGACGCCCAUGAAGUGUUCGACAAAAAACCCUAUAGAGGUAUAUUUUCCAUGGCUGCAGGACAAACCACUCAACAGAUGCAGGUCGGUAAUUCUUUUACACUCUUGUAUAGUGUGGAAAAAAAGAAACAAACGGCCUUGAAUAAUUGUGAUCGUUCAAUUAUACGGUGUCUCUAAAUGUUCAUUAUAGUUUAAAACUUAUUAAAAUGAAGGUGACAAUUAAAGUUGCAAAACCAGUAGUUUCUAUUCACACCCCAUUUUAACCUUAGCUUUCAAUCAACCCACUAUAAUUGCCCACCACAAUACGGCAAUAUCAAUCUAACGGGGACAAAAUUGAUUUGUGAUGCUCUUAAAAUUGAGAGAAUGAAGCUUGUGAAGAGAACACUCAAUGGCGCGAUGAUAUAAGCUACAUGCACUUACUCUUGCAAAAGAUGCAGUAUCAAUAUUUGGCAAAUUUGAAGCAACAACUUGCUUUUCCUACAAAUUUGGAGAUGCCUUCUUAUCUUUUAUCAUACAAGAUUUGACCAUACUUGUCUUUCUCUUCAUCCUCUGUUUUUUAGUAUUCUUCUUUUAUUCAGAUCGCCACAGAGAAGUUGUUUCUCUCAUUCUCAAGGUAAAUCUCUUCUUUGUGAUUUUGGAACAUAGUUAUUCUCUUUCAUGUUUAGUUUGUUUACCCUACCUGCAAGAUGAAGGUAUCUCUAUUGUUAUCUAUUCCCAAUUUUAAUAUUUAAGAUUUUGUUUUUUGUUAUUCAGCUUCUGGAAAAUUUCAAAAAAUCUAUAACUGUUGCUUUUGAUUCUUUUUGAGUAUUGGACUUUUUAGUUUCCAUUGUCUCCGACAUUCUUUUUCUACAUAAACUUUGUGGUGGUUGAUAACUUUUUCAUUUGAUUAGUGUUAAUAGAUAUAUAAAUCUGUUAUAUCAGUCGCCAUGCUAUGUUUGAUUGUUCCUACUGUUUUUUACCUUCUAUUUCGCGAAAAUUUGAUUUUUUGGGGGUUUUCCCACUUUGUUCUAUUGAAAAUAAAAAUUUAUCUUGACUUGGAGUCCUAAGAUGUCAGCGACAAGCGUAAGGCCUUGAAGACAAUCUCUGCUAUUUUAGAUAUUGAAAUAGUUAAAAUUUCCUUUGUUUUUCACCAAUCAAUAUUUCAUAAUUACAAAAUGUUAAUGCUUCAGCUCCAAUUUUCUUGCUUUUCUUUUUCCAUAUGAGUAUGUGAAUAACCUUGCAGUAUAGUCAAUCUAGAGCAUGAUUGACUCAAUAGUAUAUUUUACUCCUUCCAUAGUUUGCUAAUCAUUCAUUUAUAGAAUAUUCUGUGAAAUUGAAUUCACUAUUUGUUAGUAUUAUGUGAAAUUGAAGUCAUAGUUAUUUUUCUACCUCCAGGCAACAGACUUUUGCAUAAUUGCGUCGCCCAAAGAGAAGUAGAGAAUCAAACAUCUAUUCUUUUUCUCUGAGUUUUCAUUCUCAAGUUUAUUCUUCCUCUGGUCUAUAGCCGCUCAAUCUAGAGUAGUUGUCAUUCUUCUCAACUUGACAUUUUAGCUUUCAUCACUUUAAAUAACCACAUUUAGAGGCUAAAAUACUAGAACAAAUGAAGUUGGCAACAAUUGUGUGGGAACCCCUUUGCUAAAGGGGUUGAGUCUGAGAAUAGCUAGAAAUCACAUAAUCUCUAAGGAUCAACUAUAGUUAGUUGGCUUGUGGUUAGUUUUCUACAUGUUACGUUUAUUCAUUGAGGUAUAUCACAGUCUAAUAAUUUGUGUUUGUGAUGUACCAAAAUCUUUCAACAAUGACAUCUUUGGAAGAAUUCAGUUUGCUAAUUAUUGAAAGAAGCCAGCAUUCGUCUAUUCCUUAUGGAAAGAGGAUAGAAGCUCAUAUUUUUUAUACAUAAAAGAACUAGGUAAGCCUGGCAAUGAGGGAGCAAGAGUCGUGCUUACCCUUUGAGAUGGAAACAGAGAUGGAGGUUCAAUGCAAAUGGAGCUUUGCAAGGUCAUAAAUGUCUUCUACGUAGUUGAAUGUAUCUUAGCAGUAGGAUUUACACAAAACUAAGUUUGGUUCUUCUCUUCUUUAAAGUCUAUUUGUAACCUGAUAGGACUAUCUUAUAAGAAUUAGUGCAGUUCACGAUUAUCUAUCACACGAUUAUCACAUUUUUACUAAAUUAAUUUAACAGACUCAA